rnacentral:rRNA from 1 species
UUAAAANUUCGGGGCUUAACCCCGUGAUGGGAUGGAAACUGCUGAUCUAGAGUAUCGGAGAGGAAAGUGGAAUUCCUAGUGUAGCGGUGAAAUGCGUAGAUAUUAGGAAGANCACCAGUGGCGAAGGCGACUUUCUGGACGAAAACUGACGCUGAGGCGCGAAAGCCAGGGGAGCGAACGGGAUUAGAUACCCCGGUAGUCCUGNCCGUAAACGAUGGGUACUAGGUGUAGGAGGUAUCGACCCNUUCUGUGCCGGAGUUAACGCAAUAAGUACCCCGCCUGGGGAGUACGACCGCAAGGUUGAAACUCAAAGGAAUUGACGGGGGCCCGCACAAGCGGUGGAGUAUGUGGUUUAAUUCGACGCAACGCGAAGAACCUUACCAGGUCUUGACAUUGAUGGACAGAACCAGAGAUGGUUCCUCUUCUUCGGAAGCCAGAAAACAGGUGGUGCACGGUUGUCGUCAGCUCGUGUCGUGAGAUGUUGGGUUAAGUCNNGCAACGAGCGCAACCCCUAUCUUAUGUUGCCAGCACUUUGGGUGGGGACUCAUGAGAGACUGCCGCAGACAAUGCGGAGGAAGGCGGGGAUGACGUCAAAUCAUCAUGGCCCUUAUGACCUGGGCUACACACGUACCACAAUGGGAGUUAAUAGACGGAAGCGAGAUCGCGAGAUGGAGCAAACCCGAGAAACACUCUCUCAGUUCGGAUCGUAGGCU